GACGAACGCUGGCGGCGUGCUUAACACAUGCAAGUCGAACGAAGUGGCGGACGGGUGAGUAACGCGUAAUCAACCUGCCCUUCGGAGGGGGACACCAGUUGGAAACGACUGCUAAUACCGAAUACUGAAGGGGGGGAUUGCGUUGGAUUAGCUAGGUGGAGGGGUAACGGCCCAACAAGGCGAUGAUCAGUAGCCGGUUGGGGAGGAUGAACGGCCCCAUUGGGACUGAGAACAGGCCCAGAACCCUAAGGGAGGCAGCAGGGGGGAAGUUUCCGAAAUGGACGAAAGUCUGAAGGAGCAACUGCGCGGGAUGGAUGACGGCCUUCGGGUUGUAAAGGUCUGUUAAGCGGGACGCGGUACCGGAAGAGAAAGCAACGGCUAACUACGUGCCAGCAGCCGCGGUAAUAC
rnacentral:rRNA from 1 species